rnacentral:rRNA from 1 species
UAACGGCGAGUGAACCGGGAAGAGCUCAAAUUUGAAAUCUGGCGUCCUCAGGGCGUCCGAGUUGUAAUCUAUAGAGGCGUUUUCCGUGCCGGACCGUGUCCAAGUUCCUUGGAACAGGAUAUCAAAGAGGGUGACAAUCCCGUACUUGACACGACGACCGGUGCUCUGUGAUACGUCUUCUACGAGUCGAGUUGUUUGGGAAUGCAGCUCAAAAUGGGUGGUGAGUUCCAUCUAAAGCUAAAUAUUGGCGAGAGACCGAUAGCGAACAAGUACCGUGAGGGAAAGAUGAAAAGCACUUUGGAAAGAGAGUUAAACAGUACGUGAAAUUGUUGAAAGGGAAACGAUUGAAGUCAGUCGUGACCGAGAGGCUCAGCCGGUUCUGCCGGUGUAUUCCCCUCGGUCGGGUCAACAUCAGUUUUGUCCGGUGGAUAAGGGCGGUAGGAAGGUGGCACCCUCGGGUGUGUUAUAGCCUGCCGUCGCAUACAUCGGGUGAGACUGAGGAACGCAGCUCGCCUUUAUGGCCGGGGUUCGCCCACGUCCGAGCUUAGGAUGUUGACAUAAUGGCUUUAAACGACCCGUC